rnacentral:rRNA from 1 species
AACGAACGCUGGCGGCAGGCCUAACACAUGCAAGUCGAACGCUCCGCAAGGGGAGUGGCGCACGGGUGAGUAACGCGUGGGAAUAUGCCCUUCGGUUCGGAAUAACACAGGGAAACUUGUGCUAAUACCGGAUACGAUCUACGGAUGAAAGAUUUAUCGCCGAGGGAGUAGCCCGCGUAGGAUUAGCUAGUUGGUGAGGUAAUGGCUCACCAAGGCGACGAUCCUUAGCUGGUCUGAGAGGAUGAUCAGCCACACUGGGACUGAGACACGGCCCAGACUCCUACGGGAGGCAGCAGUGGGGAAUAUUGGACAAUGGGCGAAAGCCUGAUCCAGCCAUGCCGCGUGAGUGAUGAAGGCCUUAGGGUUGUAAAGCUCUUUCGCCAGGGAAGAUAAUGACGGUACCUGGAAAAGAAGCCUCGGCUAACUCCGUGCCAGCCGCCGCAGUAAGAC